rnacentral:lncRNA from 1 species
UGCUGAUAAAAGUGGGUACUUGAAUAUUGUCAGGUGUUAUGUUGAUCAUGGUGCCAAUCCCGACAUAAUGGGGUUUACUCUAUAUCAGGCCAUAAAAUAUGAAGUAUAAAACAUAUCAUAUAUUUUAUUUGGCAUAAAACAUUGUCACAAAUUGAUUCAUUUCAUAACUCCAUUGAUAAAAGUUGAAAGAAAUGAAGUGAAGCAUAUAAGAAUUUCUUAACUCACGUUAUAUUCUAUACAUUUGAUUCAGGGCAUUGUGAAAUAGUAGAACUCUUGCUCUCUAGGGGUGCUUAUGUCGAUCUAUUUUAUAUGGAUCAUGGGACACCAUUGCAUGGUAAACAUAAGCAGGAUGCAACCGUGAAGAUUUUGUUGGAUCACCAUUCAGAUGUAAGUUCCAUUCCAUGUGUCUUUGUUAUCUAAAGUUACAUUCCUUUAUUGUUUUCUCACUAUUAUAUUUGAUAACCUUUGGAACUUGAACUUUGAUCGAUAGAUAAUUAUGACUCUUCGAAGUCAGAAAAACUGUCAAUUUAUUUUGGGGCCGAUGUUAUUGUGGCAUCAAUACAACUUCAUUCCACUUGAUCCGGCACGACACAAGUCAAUAACCUCUCGCUUUGAUUUCUUCAUCAUGAAUGCCUAUAUGCAUUUUAAUGACCUUUAUUGUUCGUGUCGAGUGAAUAAGAACUACAGCAGUUUCUCAAUGUCGACCUCACUUGAGAUCCUUUUGUUUUAUUAUGAGAAGAUCAAGAGCUUUGAUAUGAUGAAGUGCAUAGUAUAUUUGAAAUAUGUAGUAAUUUUGUAUAAAGUAUUCCUAAUUUAUAUAACUUUUGUUCAAGUCCUAUCUAGAUCAAAAUCAUAAUCUUGCAUUUCGUUUUUGACAUAAUCUAUAUAUAAUGUCUUGGGUAAGAUAGAAGACCUUUAGGCUUAGAAACUUUUUGGAAUAGUUGGUCAAUGCCAAGGUAUAUGAUUUGUUUAUAUCUGCUUCUAUUUGUAUGCAUUUUUUUGUUUAUCUUCAAAAUAUUUCCUACAUGUCUCAUCUGUACACACGUGUGUGCUUGUUCUUGUCAUUGAGUUGAGUUAGUGAAUUGGUUGGUGAUGUUUAGUUUGUAGCCACUCAGAGCCACUCUAUAUUGUUGAAUUUGAGUUUUUUCCAGUGAUUUUAUUAAUCUUCAGACGAUCAGAUUUCAGUGUUUUUUCUGGUGACUGUUAGACAGAGACAUGAAUUCCGGGUCUACUUCUUUUCUUCUUUUUAUGAAAUCCUCAAUAAUUCCUACCUUUCUUGGAAGUGCAGGUACAUACUACUAUUAAUUAACUCCCAUGUUCAGUGUUUGGGACAGGUGGCAUGCACUAUCACGUCUGUAUGAUAUGGCCGAGUUUAGAUGAAAUAGUUUUGCAUGUUUGAUAUAUCUUAGUAAAUUAUGGGUUUGAUCUCCAAAUGUGCUUGAACAUAAUAAGUUAAGGAAGAUGCUUGGUUUGAUUUGAGCAAAGAGGUUGUACAGAUACUAUCUAAAUGGUGUGGAUGCUUUUCGCUUGAAAAGAUGGAAAGGAAGUUGUUUUUCUUGUGUUCUUUUCCUGUUUGAUACUUCCACACAUCUUCAUGGCCCGGUAAUUUUGGAACCAAGAAAAGCGCUGCAUUUCCUUGAGGACCUUAGUUUUGGCUUUGUCAUUGCUUAGUACAUAUAAAAAGGAUUGUGUGCAUUAAAAUGUUAUGCGAAAUACAUUGCUAUUGAAAGAAAGCUUUGCCAGGAGCCUAUCUAAUUUUGAU